GCCCCGUACCCCCACUACCACCCUGCCAGACAUCGGGUGCCUGCGUGUGGGUGUGCAGAGGAAGCCAUCUUGAUGGGAAAUCUUGCUCCUACUAAAUGCCUGUAAAAUGGCUGUAGUGGCACGAGGCCUGCCCGUGGACCAGAGGCAUUCCCCCAUCUCCAUGGUGGUGGCCAACCCAUGACAGGCCUGCUUGCUCCCGGAGAUCCUAGGCCUUCAGCCAGGAUGUUGGCUUCACAGGGGUCCAGCGCAUACCUGAAGGAGCUACCAGACAUGAAGGAGGUGCUUGAGGAGCCGAGGAGUACCGCACACGGCUUGAAGUUGCUGAAAUCAGCUGAAAAAACCAAGCCCCACCUGCCGCCCAGUGCCCCCCCCCCCUCCCCCAGGAGACAAGGAUCACACGGAUUGGCAUAUGGGUUUAUCAGUACAUUCAGCUAACGGGACUCCCUACGGAAACCAAACGAUCGUCACUCUGUAACCGUGCCCCCCGUCUAUAAAUAAAAUGCCGGCGGUGUAGUACAGACCACGGGGCCGGAGUCUGUCCCCAAACACACCGUGAACUGAGCCUGAACCCAAACUGCUCCUGCUACUCUCCCAGGAACAGGCCUAUCACCGGACUGAGGAGCUUCGAGCCGAAUUUUAGUCAUGGCGGGGGCGAAGUUAUAGCCAAACAUUCUGAAUGACCGUCGGGACGGCUUUCAAUUAAUGCUAAAAUAAAUCCAAAUAACAAAAUCCUUUAGCCAAUGUUUAUCCCAGCAGAGAUGUGCAUAGUGGGUCAGUAAUGUUUUCCAUGUCUGUUGGACAUAGACACAUGAUGUACUGCAGUGUACAUUAGCUUUCUGAAGAACCUUUUUCUGAAGCUUGUUAUGUAAUCCUCCUGACCUGGAACAAACCUUUGAUUUGCCAUCUGUACCCAAUACUGAAGUCGUUGUUUCCAUUUAUUCUCAGUAUAACUAGACAUUAAACAUUUCUGUGUGUGAUUCUAUUCUGUGUGUAUUAAGGAGAUUGUAAUACUCUAUUCACAGAUACUCAGUCCUUAUAUGCAAAUGGGAGGUGAGUUUCUGUUUUUAAAACUAGACUAACUUUAAAUAUAAGGUAUAUUCUGUGCAGACUAUAAACUUUACAUUACGGGCUUUGCCCAUGCAGAGAAUGGUGCAACACAUGGAAAUAAAAUCUCAUUUAAAAAUCU